CCGGCACUCAUGAAGGUCUGCUUGAAAACCAGCCUGCUGGUGGGGCAGUCCUGAGGACCUGGCGUG
rfam:Mus musculus phospholipid hydroperoxide glutathione peroxidase mRNA, complete cds, alternatively spliced.